rnacentral:rRNA from 1 species
AGAGUUUGAUCCUGGCUCAGAUUGAACGCUGGCGGCAUGCCUUACACAUGCAAGUCGAACGGUAACAGCACUUCGGUGGCUGACGAGUGGCGAACGGGUGAGUAAUACAUCGGAACGUGCCCGAUCGUGGGGGAUAACGGAGCGAAAGCUUUGCUAAUACCGCAUACGAUCUACGGAUGAAAGCAGGGGACCCUCGGGCCUUGCGCGAACGGAGCGGCCGAUGGCAGAUUAGGUAGUUGGUGGGAUAAAAGCUUACCAAGCCGACGAUCUGUAGCUGGUCUGAGAGGACGACCAGCCACACUGGGACUGAGACACGGCCCAGACUCCUACGGGAGGCAGCAGUGGGGAAUUUUGGACAAUGGGCGAAAGCCUGAUCCAGCAAUGCCGCGUGCAGGAUGAAGGCCUUCGGGUUGUAAACUGCUUUUGUACGGAACGAAAAGUCUCGGGCUAAUACCCUGGGACCAUGACGGUACCGUAAGAAUAAGCACCGGCUAACUACGUGCCAGCAGCCGCGGUAAUACGUAGGGUGCAAGCGUUAAUCGGAAUUACUGGGCGUAAAGCGUGCGCAGGCGGUUAUAUAAGACAGAUGUGAAAUCCCCGGGCUCAACCUGGGAACUGCAUUUGUGACUGUAUAGCUAGAGUACGGUAGAGGGGGAUGGAAUUCCGCGUGUAGCAGUGAAAUGCGUAGAUAUGCGGAGGAACACCGA